GAGACAAAAUUUUAGAAAUUGGCAAGUAUGAAGAAGAGCUCUCAGGGAUUCAGUGUAGAUGUAAGAAUAUGGCCAAGAGAUCCUCGCACCAAGCCCGAGCUCUCCACCACGGGAAGCUGGGGAGGAGCAAGCAAGAGAGGAUGAGGUGGCAAGAUCUCCACACUAAUUUCUCCCUCAGGUGUGUGGGGCCUUCUUGGAAGCCAAAUGAAGAAAAUCUUUCAAGAGAAGAAAGUGGUCAAACCAUGCCAAGUAAAUGUUCCUCUACCAGGAAAAAAAAUCUAAAUAUUACCCCAUCCCCAUUUUCCAACACUAUAAAUUGUGAGGCCAUCACAAAACUUGGUCCACUCAUCACUGCCGUAUCUCUUCAGUCUCUCCAGGAGGAAAUACGACAUCCACGGAAGCCUCUGCCACAUCCAAAGAAGGAAUUAAUCCAUCAGUACUCAUUGAGUGUCUACUAUAGUCACAGCACUCUGCUCCUGGUUGAAAAUAUACAAGAGAAAGAUUAAAAGACCCAGUUCAAUACGUCUGUCUGCGGAAGGGGAAAUGAAGCAUCUGCUUGGUGCCUCCAUUAGGAAGAUGACUUACGACAGGCAGCUGUCAGGCAAGGCGUCU
rnacentral:lncRNA from 1 species